UACAGAGGGGGCAAGCGUUGUUCGGAAUUACUGGGCGUAAAGGGCGCGUAGGCGGCCUGCUAAGUCGAACGUGAAAUCCCUGGGCUCAACCCAGGAACUGCGUCCGAUACUGGUUGGCUUGAAUCCGGGAGAGGGACGUGGAAUUCCAGGUGUAGCGGUGAAAUGCGUAGAUAUCUGGAGGAAUACCGGUGGCGAAGGCGACUCGUCGAGCCGUAUGACGCUGAGGCGCGAAAG
rnacentral:rRNA from 1 species